UGAACUGAAGAGUUUGAUCCUGGCUCAGAUUGAACGCUGGCGGCAUGCCUUACACAUGCAAGUCGAACGGUAACGGGNCCUUCGGGCGCCGAACGAGUGGCGAACGGGUGAGUAAUCCAUCGGAACAUGCCCUGAAGUGGGGGAUAACGUAGCGAAAGUUACGCUAAUACCGCAUAUCCUGUGAGCAGGAAAGCAGGGGACCUUCGGGCCUUGCGCUUUGGGAGUGGCCGAUGUCGGAUUAGCUAGUUGGUGGGGUAAAAGCCUACCAAGGCAACGAUCCGUAGCGGGUCUGAGAGGAUGAUCCGCCACACUGGGACUGAGACACGGGCCAGACUCCUACGGGAGGCAGCCGUGGGGAAUUUUGGACAAUGGGCGAAAGCCUGAUCCAGCCAUGCCGCGUGAGUGAAGAAGGCCUUCGGGUUGUAAAGCUCUUUCGGCGGGGAAGAAAUCGGGUUUCCUAAUACGGAACCCGGAUGACGGUACCCGAAGAAGAAGCACCGGCUAACUACGUGCCAGCAGCCGCGGUAAUACGUAGGGUGCNAGCGUUAAUCGGAAUUACUGGGCGUAAAGCGUGCGCAGGCGGUUGUGUAAGACAGACGUGAAAUCCCCGGGCUCAACCUGGGAACUGCGUUUGUGACUGCACAGCUAGAGUGCGGCAGAGGGGGGUGGAAUUCCACGUGUAGCAGUGAAAUGCGUAGAGAUGUGGAGGAACACCGAUGGCGAAGGCAGCCCCCUGGGCCAAUACUGACGCUCAUGCACGNAAGCGUGGGGAGCAAACAGGAUUAGAUACCCUGGUAGUCCACGCCCUAAACGAUGGCACCUAGGUGUUGGUGGGGUUAAACCCAUUAGUGCCGUAGCUAACGCGUGAAGUUGACCGCCUGGGGAGUACGGCGGCAAGGUUAAAACUCAAAGGAAUUGACGGGGANCCGCACAAGCGGUGGAUGAUGUGGAUUAAUUCGAUGCAACGCGAAAAACCUUACCUACCCUUGACAUGUCAGGAAUCCUGAGGAGACUCGGGAGUGCCCGAAAGGGNACCUGAACACAGGUGCUGCAUGGCNGUCGUCAGCUCGUGUCGUGAGAUGUUGGGUUAAGUCCCGCAACGAGCGCAACCCUUGUCAUUAAUUGCCAUCAUUCAGUUGGGCACUUUAAUGAAACUGCCGGUGACAAACCGGAGGAAGGUGGGGAUGACGUCAAGUCCUCAUGGCCCUUAUGGGUAGGGCUUCACACGUCAUACAAUGGUCGGUCCAUAGGGUUGCNAACCCGCGAGGGGGAGCUAAUCCCAGAAAGCCGAUCGUAGUCCGGAUUGCAGUCUGCAACUCCACUGCAUGAAGUCGGAAUCGCUAGUAAUCGCGGAUCAGCAUGUCGCGGUGAAUACGUUCCCGGGUCUUGUACACACCGCCCGUCACACCAUGGGAGCGGGUUCUGCCAGAAGUAGUUAGCCUAACCGCAAGGAGGGCGAUUACCACGGCAGCGUUCGU
rnacentral:rRNA from 1 species